GGGAUCCAGGCGCAGCCCCCAACUCUGCUCCCGCCCUGUGGGGGUGUGGAGCCAGCCACCGCGUCGCGCCUGCCUUCGGGUUCCUCUGCUCCUGAUGCUCUCCGGCCCUAUCCACCUUCGGGCUUCCCCGCACAGCUCCCUCCCUACCUGCGCCACCCCGCGAGCUCGGGCUCUGAUUCCGGUCUCCGCGUGUGUCCUUGUUGUCUACAUCUUUACCUCCAACUUCAUUCUGUCGUUGUGGGUGUCUUUCUGGCGCCCUGUCACGUCUGUUCCUCCCCGUGUAUCUGUCUAUGUGUCUGUCUACCUGUCUUUCGGUGGGUCUCUUUCUCUCUCCACCUGUGUCUCUGACUCUCUCCCCUGGCCUCUCUCCUCUCUCCCGACUGGAUGGCUAGCCUCUUCGUCUCUUCCCUGCCCUUGCACUGUCUCUUUGAUUAGGCCUGGAGGACGGACGCCAAGGGAUACCUAGGCUGGGUGGCUUCCGGAGGCGCACCUUCCCUGGACAGGAGUUAUUCCUUCUUUUCUCCUUAGAAAGAAAUGGGGCCAGCCAGGAUUCCUGCUGACUGCAUCCCAGCCAGAGCCCCAGGACGUGUCUUCUGGGUGACCUGAGGAGGAAAGAGCUCACACUUCCCAGGCAGUGGAGCCAGUCCAGGUUCAAGAGCUGCUCCCCCCACACACACCCCCCUGGUGUCCUUGGGCAAGUCACUUGACCUCUGCGGGCUCUCCUGCCCCUUAACAAGCAGACAACUUCUCCCCUGGCUUCCCCCACCACGUGGUGUGAGAGUCAUAUGAGACAGUGGUUGAAAAGUGCACAGGAAACUGUAAAAUUCUACAUCAGUGGGGGGAGGGAGCAUGCACAGGAGCGGACUGAGGCCAGGGCAGAGGGGAGAAUGUCGGCACCAGCAGAACCAACACCAGCCUAGAGUCUCUGUUUUACCUGCUCCACGCCAGCUCAGGGCCAGGCAUCUUGCACCCAUUACCCCCCACCAACCCCACUGUAGGGAGGAGAAAACAGGCCCAGAGAGGGCACGCUUGUGUCUCAUCAGUACAAUUGGAACCGGACCUGGAGCCUCACACCAGAAGCCAAGAAAGUCUUUUGUCCCUGCCCAGAUCGAGGCCUGGAGUUCACCAGGAAUGAGAAGCUAAGUUUGACGUGAGAAGGCCAGGAGUGCCAGAGUUUUCAUUUUCAUUGCCACUGAGACUUAGGAAGCCUUCUGCAGUGAGCAACGCUGGAAUGCUCUCAGCUCCUCUUCCUCUUGGCCUCAAACUCACCCAGGUGGAAGUUCCCAGGCGACAUAUGGAAGUCACCUAUAAUAUAACAGAGAUGUGGAAAUCCACUUCCAAACAAACACAAAUAUUGGAAUGGAGUGUUGCAAACCAAACCUCCCUCAGGGGCUGCCUAGUCCAGUCACCAAAAUAACCGAUGGAAACCAGUCAAGGCUCCUGGUUGGAGACAGGGUGGGGUCCCGUUCACCCAGUCUGCUCUGAAAGGCGAAGAGGGGAGUGGGUGCUGGAGAGUCAGCUCACGAAUAUCCCCCACUCAGCAGCUUGAAGAUUUGGGCAAGUACCUACCCUCUUGCAUUUAGCUUUAUCCUUGUUAAAGCAUUUGAGGUAAAUAGUAAUAAAAAUAUUUUAUAUGUGUAAAGACAAUGUUUUAAAACCUAUAAAUCAUCUAUGCUCACUCCAGAAAGUUUCACUGCAAAAAGAAAAAUUAAAUUAAAACACCCUGAAAUCUCAUCACAUAGAGAUAUCCCACUGAACACCUUGGAAUUUGCCUUUUCGUGUUUCAGAACAAGACAAAAACUCUGAAAGAAUGGGGUUAUAGGAUACCUAGUGAGGGCCCCUGACUAGUCUCAACACAGGAGCAUCUUCCCUAGUCUGAUCCUGAUGUUUAAGUCCUCUGAUUGCAUUGUCUCGUUUUCUCCUCUGGGUCGGGCUUAUUAUGAUCCCCAUUCUACAGAUAAUGAAACAAAGGCUUGGAGACCAAGUCAGGAGCAGGCAGCCAGGGUGAGCUUGCAGCCCAGGCCCCGAACCACGGUGCCAUGGGGUCUCCACCCAGGACACAGAGGAUGCACUGCUGCCACUCAUUCACCAAGUGCCCAGCAAGCACUUCUGGAGGGUAAGAGAGGCCAUGUGCCUCACCUCUAGUCCAGUCCAGUCCUUUUCCAGCUUCCCCCUAGGGAGUUCCAGAGGUCUCUGGGCACUAGAAGAAAGGAAGGCCAGUGGGUUUAAUGUUUACCACCCCAAAGUGCCAUGUCAUGGAAACCCGGGGACUCUGGCCUCUCCCACUACCUCUGAAGAUAGGGGUAGGUGCUCAGGGCAGGGCAGGCAGAGGGCAAACACUCGACCUCAGCUGCCAGCUCCUCCAGUUUUCUGUAUGGGUACAGGAUUGGAGUGAGCACGUGAUAGGUGGGCUCAGGCCUCCUCCCAGACGUCGCAACAAAAAACACUGUAGUAAUGGACAAUGGCCCAGACUCUGAAGUCAGACUGCCUUGGUUCGAAUCUGGCUCCACUAAGCUGUUUGACCUUGAGCAGGUGAGCCCAUCUGUGCCUCAGUUUCUUCACUGUGGAAUGGGAAUAAUAAUACCUACCACACAGA